GUCUAAGUACACACGGGUGGUACAGUGAAACUGCGAAUGGCUCAUUAAAUCAGUUAUGGUUCCUUUGGUCGCUCCCCUCCCGUUACUUGGAUAACUGUGGUAAUUCUAGAGCUAAUACAUGCCGACGAGCGCCGACCUCCGGGGACGCGUGCAUUUAUCAGACCAAAACCAACCCGGGCUCGCCCGGCGGCUUUGGUGACUCUAGAUAGGACUGGAGCAUCUCUCCUAUGAAGAAAGGCUGAGGGAGCUGGGCCUGUUCAGCCUGGAGAAGAG
rnacentral:ncRNA from 1 species